rnacentral:rRNA from 1 species
GGGACAGUAGGUUGGUCGUGCCACCGGUACGUACUGGUCUCACUGAUUCCUCCUUCCUGAAGAACCGUAAUGCCAUUAAUUUGGUGUUGCGGGGAAACAGGACUGUUACUUUGAAAAAAUUAGAGUGUUUAACGCAAGCUAACGCUUGAAUACAUUAGCAUGGAAUAAUGAAAUAGGACGAUCGAUCCUAUUUUGUUGGUUUCUAGGAUUGACGUA